CCCUUAGAUGUCCUGGGCUGCACGCGCGCUACACUGAUGUGUCCAGUAAGCACCUAACCUCUUCCGAAAGGAACGGGUAACCUUUGCAAAGCACAUCGUGAUGGGGAUAGAUUAUUGCAAUUAUUAGUCUUGAACGAGGAAUUCCUAGUAAGCACAAGUCAUCAGCUUGCAUUGAUUACGUCCCUGCCCUUUGUACACACCGCCCGUCGCUCCUACCGAUUGAAUGAUCCGAUGAAUACCAUGGAUUGAGAGUACGAAUAGGUUCGCUUAUUUCUGCUUCUCGAGAAGUGGAGUAAAUCUUAUCAUUUAGAGGAAGGAGAAGUCGUAACA
rnacentral:rRNA from 1 species